rnacentral:rRNA from 1 species
AACGAACGCUGGCGGCAUGCCUAACACAUGCAAGUCGAACGAGACCUUCGGGUCUAGUGGCGCACGGGUGCGUAACGCGUGGGAACCUGCCCUUAGGUUCGGAAUAACUCCCCGAAAGGGGUGCUAAUACCGGAUAAUGUCUUCGGACCAAAGAUUUAUCGCCUUUGGAUGGGCCCGCGUUGGAUUAGCUAGUUGGUAGGGUAAAAGCCUACCAAGGCGACGAUCCAUAGCUGGUCUGAGAGGAUGAUCAGCCACACUGGGACUGAGACACGGCCCAGACUCCUACGGGAGGCAGCAGUGGGGAAUAUUGGACGAUGGGCGAAAGCCUGAUCCAGCAAUGCCGCGUGAGUGAUGAAGGCCUUAGGGUUGUAAAGCUCUUUUACCCGGGAUGAUAAUGGCAGUACCGGGAGAAUAAGCUCCGGCUAACUCCGUG